GGGCCCGCUUUCUUUUGGCAGAGUGCAUAUGUCUGCAGAGAGACCUCGGAGUUGAGAACUCAGCAGCUCAGCUUGGAACAAAACAGCUGCCGUGUUCUCCUUCGCAACCACCCCGGAUGACCCUGGAACUGCUCCUUUUCCCUAACCCACUGUGGGAGCCGGCUCUGGGGACAUAUGACGUGCAUUUGCCAAGAGAUCCCAGAACAGGUGCCCGAGUCCCUGGAGACAGGAUUGUUGCAGACGUAAUCAGUUAAGAGGAUGUCAGAUUGGAGUAGGGUGGACCCUACUCCAUAUGAUCGGCAUCCUUAUAAAAAGGGGUAGAUCUGGACACAGGCACAUGCACAGGAAGAAGACCACCGGAACAUGAAGUAGAGAUCAGAAUAAUGUGACCAAGGGACACCAAAGAUGGCCAGAAAAAUAGAGGCAUGGGACAGAAUUCUCCCCCACAAUCCUGAGAAGGAAUCGACCCUGCUGAUACCUUGGCUUUGGCCUUCAAACCUGCAGAACUGUAAGGCAGUACUGUUGGCUAGGCCAUCCACUCAUGCUACCUAGUUUUAGCAACCCUAGCCAAGAAUUCAGGUCCCCACCAAACUAUGAAUUCAAUGAAGGCAAAUCUUCACAGCUGAGCCAUUAAGUCUUGUUUGUUUCUACCACCUAAUAGCUCACUUCUCACCAGUACCUUGAACUUAAGCCCCAGAAUCUCACCUCGGGGCUACUGAGCUAUCCUCCAGUGGAGGCUAUCCCUGCCUCCAGUCUUAGCCCCUCCAACCAAUCCUUCAUGCCAGGGAGAAGGAACUGAUGGAUCUGAAGUCCAAGCCAAAGUAAGACCUACCUUGACUUCAUGACCAAUUCUUCUCGUCACCCACAAGGCCCUUCAUUCUCUGGCUCCCACUCCUGGCUCAGGCCUCUCCCCCUGCCUCAGGCCCCCUUGAUCUACAUGCUUCGGCCUCACUCAGCACACUAGGGUCCCUCCUGACUCCAUUCUGGAUCCCAGGUGCCUGAACCCGGCCAGCAUCUCUUCACCCUGUUUCUGAAUCUUGUGUGUACAUCUAUCAUCUGUUUGUAUCUUCAGGCUCAUUCCUGAGACGUAAGUUUCUGGGCUGAACAGGGAUUGAGUCUGAUUGCAUCUUGGAAUUCCAAUGACUAGCAGGUGGCUGGCACAGUUUAGAACUUUAUGGAAUGUUGGGGGUGGGACCAAAUGCCUCCUGCCCUUAACUGAGUCAAGAAGUCCUUGGGCACUUUAGCCCUGUGUGCUAACACUUUAAGGGACAACGACAAGGCACAGUCCCUACGGCGUAGGGGUUCCCAGUCAAGAAAGACGAGUGAGUUAAGUCAGUAGGUGCUGGGUGGCUGCCAUGUGCCUCCAUGUUCCUGUGGCCUUCUUCCUGUGUGUGUGCCUAUGUUCAGGAUGUCAGUCAUUGCUCUAAGCACUUCGGGAGCAUCAAUUUAUUUGAUCCUCAAAGUAAUCUUUGAUAUUUGAAGAAAUUGAGGCAGAAAAAAGGGAAAUUUGUUGAUUUGCUCCAGAUAAAAAAUCUGGUCCAACCUGGGGCUCAGAGAGUGACUCCAAAGCUCUCACCUGCAGGCGUCUGGGCAGCGCGUCAUGCGUGCGUCUGGCCCAUGUGCCUCCCAGUGUCUUUCCAGCACAUCUCUACACCCAGCUUCUCCUAGUUCAAGUCACCCUGUUCUCUCUCCGAGUCCCUUUAGCACGCCCCCACUCCUCCGCUCUCCCUGUCACACUCUGCAGGCACCCCACGAACCUGGGAUGUCACCGUCCUUACUCAGGGAGUGUCCAUGGCUCUUAAGAUCAGGAUGAGACUAUAAUCCGGCCCCCAGACCUGAAUUGCUGGGUCUUUUCACACCUAGGAUCUUUUCUCUGUGAGCCUUGAUCUUGUUCAUUUCGUGCUUUUCUGAGUCUUUGUGUGUGCCAUUCCCUGUGCCUGGAAACCCUCCCACCCUCUUUUUGUCUAAAUCAUUACCCUUCAUUUGGAUCUCAACUCCAGGUCUGCUGUCCAGAGAAGCCCCUCCUACCCUCCCUGUCCACCAUGAGCAGGUCAGACCCUAUUAUGGGUGCUGUGCUUUGAACACGGUUUAAGUGUGUGCCCCCGGGGGCCAUUUGUUGGUGUCUUGGUCCCCAAGAUAGUGGUAUCAGGAGGUGGUGAUAAUAAGAGGUGAGACCUAGUGGUACGUCCUUGGGUCAAUUGAGGAUGUGACCUUGAAAGGACUGUGGGAGCUCAGUCUCUAUUUGGCCUCUGUUGGUAAUGUGAUCUCUCUCUCUCUCUCUCUCUCUCUCUCUCUCUCUCUCUCUCGCUGCCCCCCACCUGCCAUGCGGUUCUUGUUAGAGCCUGUGCCAUGAUGUUUGGAAUCAGCCUCCAAGACUCUACUCUCUUCCUUUGGUUUUGGCCUGAGGGAGUUGUGAGGAAGAAGUGAGAAGACUGUAAAGCUCCAAUCUGAGUAACGGAGGCACAGUUAUGGAGUUGCCUUAUUGUGCCGACCAUCGUUCUCAAAACUCUCUUCUGUGACAGAGAGAAGUCAGAAAAAGCCAGCCUCAUCAUCAUUCUCGGCGGACACAACAUCUUUGUUGGUAUGUGGUGCUGAGGAUCGAACCCGGGCCGCACGCACGCCAGGCGAGCGCGCUACCGCUUGAGCCACAUCCCCAGCCCCAAGGGAAUGCAAUUUCUGGUGAGCCAUCAAGAUGUCCUAGGCAGGGCUGCCCUCCUUCUGCUUCUACCAAGCUCAGCCCAGGGGAGAGGAACACACGGAAGACCUAGGUGGCAGGGCUCCGAGGGACCACCUGGUGCCACUGCUUUGUUUUACCAUUUGGAAUCAUAAGGGCCCGAGAAGUGAGGAUGCCGCUGAAUGUCACCCAGCACGAGUCAGAGAUGAGGAUGGAGGGAGCUGAGCAUGAACGUCCUUGCCAGAGGCCAUUAGGGAGGUUCUGAUGAAGCUGAGGGUAUAAAUGUUUGACUGUGGACUUGGAGGUAAAGAAUGCUGAGUCCCAGGGAAUGAAGGAAUCAUUAGUAGAGACAGAAGCUGAAGAAUCAGCGUCAACAAAUCUCCCAGUGGCUCCCAGGGACCCCAGUUAAGGCUUCUUUCUUCUCUUCAUUUUCUUGAAAAUAAAUUAAAACUCUUUCAGUUUGUUCUGCCA